rnacentral:rRNA from 1 species
UCUCCCAUAUGGUCGACCUGCAGGCGGCCGCGAAUUCACUAGUGAUUAGAGUUUGAUCCUGGCUCAGAUUGAACGCUGGCGGCAGGCUUAACACAUGCAAGUCGAGCGGUAGCACAGGGGAGCUUGCUCCCUGGGUGACGAGCGGCGGACGGGUGAGUAAUGUCUGGGAAACUGCCUGAUGGAGGGGGAUAACUACUGGAAACGGUAGCUAAUACCGCAUAACGUCGCAAGACCAAAGAGGGGGACCUUCGGGCCUCUUGCCAUCAGAUGUGCCCAGAUGGGAUUAGCUAGUAGGUGGGGUAAUGGCUCACCUAGGCGACGAUCCCUAGCUGGUCUGAGAGGAUGACCAGCCACACUGGAACUGAGACACGGUCCAGACUCCUACGGGAGGCAGCAGUGGGGAAUAUUGCACAAUGGGCGCAAGCCUGAUGCAGCCAUGCCGCGUGUGUGAAGAAGGCCUUCGGGUUGUAAAGCACUUUCAGCGAGGAGGAAGGUGGUGAACUUAAUACGUUCAUCAAUUGACGUUACUCGCAGAAGAAGCACCGGCUAACUCCGUGCCAGCAGCCGCGGUAAUACGAAGGGUGCAAGCGUUAAUCGGAAUUACUGGGCGUAAAGCGCACGCAGGCGGUUUGUUAAGUCAGAUGUGAAAUCCCCGGGCUCAACCUGGGAACUGCAUUUGAAACUGGCAAGCUAGAGUCUCGUAGAGGGGGGUAGAAUUCCAGGUGUAGCGGUGAAAUGCGUAGAGAUCUGGAGGAAUACCGGUGGCGAAGGCGGCCCCCUGGACGAAGACUGACGCUCAGGUGCGAAAGCGUGGGGAGCAAACAGGAUUAGAUACCCUGGUAGUCCACGCUGUAAACGAUGUCGAUUUGGAGGUUGUGCCCUUGAGGCGUGGCUUCCGGAGCUAACGCGUUAAAUCGACCGCCUGGGGAGUACGGCCGCAAGGUUAAAACUCAAAUGAAUUGACGGGGGCCCGCACAAGCGGUGGAGCAUGUGGUUUAAUUCGAUGCAACGCGAAGAACCUUACCUACUCUUGACAUCCAGAGAACUUUCCAGAGAUGGAUUGGUGCCUUCGGGAACUCUGAGACAGGUGCUGCAUGGCUGUCGUCAGCUCGUGUUGUGAAAUGUUGGGUUAAGUCCCGCAACGAGCGCAACCCUUAUCCUUUGUUGCCAGCGGUUCGGCCGGGAACUCAAAGGAGACUGCCAGUGAUAAACUGGAGGAAGGUGGGGAUGACGUCAAGUCAUCAUGGCCCUUACGAGUAGGGCUACACACGUGCUACAAUGGCAUAUACAAAGAGAAGCGACCUCGCGAGAGCAAGCGGACCUCAUAAAGUAUGUCGUAGUCCGGAUUGGAGUCUGCAACUCGACUCCAUGAAGUCGGAAUCGCUAGUAAUCGUAGAUCAGAAUGCUACGGUGAAUACGUUCCCGGGCCUUGUACACACCGCCCGUCACACCAUGGGAGUGGGUUGCAAAAGAAGUAGGUAGCUUAACCUUCGGGAGGGCGCUUACCACUUUGUGAUUCAUGACUGGGGUGAAGUCGUAACAAGGUAACCGUAGGGGAACCUGCGGCUGGAUCACCUCCUUAAUCGAAUUCCCGCGGCC